CAUGACGUAGUUUAAUAUAAAAAUACUCCUAUUACAAAGAAGAGAAGAGGGCCUAGCCUCCGUUGUGU
rnacentral:tRNA from 1 species